rnacentral:lncRNA from 1 species
GGACUUGUAUGUCAUAAUUAUAAAACUUUUGAUUUUUCUUAUUUUACAUGAACAAAAGGGGCUUUUAAUGUUAAUGGCUCAAUAAUCACAUCUAAGCCAUUAUACAACUUUUGCGUUAAAUCCAACGGUGGAUUUGAAAAAGACAAAAGAACGGGGUACCAAACCCCAUGGGUAUAGUAGCUGGACCCUUCCCAUAAAGCAAAUGAACCUUAAUUUGAAUAAACUUUCAUUUUUAAGAUCAUAGAAUAUCAUGAUUUUCACAUCAUCAUAAUUGAGAGAAAACAUACAUUGAUCCAUAGCAAUUUUUCUUGAUCAAAUCUCACUACUAAGAGUUAAAGAUUAGCAAAAUUGAUUUAUCUCUCUUGACCCUUUUAGAGUGACUCACUCUCUGAUUAAGAGAAAAUUAACGUGAUAUCCUUUUAUAUAUUGGGUGGAGAGAGGACCAAUUUUAAUAAAACCUUAAUUUCCACUUUCCAUCAAAGUAGACAGUUAAUUUUUUUUUUCAAUUGGUCAAAAGGAUUUCAACCAAUAAUUUAUUGUAUUAUUACUAAGGUAGCGUUUACUUUUUGGAUUGGAGUGAGAAUCGUAGGAUUAUGAGUGUGGAGUGGGAGUGGGAGUAUGUUGUUUACUUACACUAGAAUGGAAGCAUGGAAUGGAAAUCAUAAUCCAAUUUAUGUGUUUAUUUUGUCUUGAAUUGAGAGUAAAUAGUUUUAAAUUACAAUUUUAUCCUUAUUUAAAGAAUUAUAGUUUUUAAUUACAAAGCUAAUAAAAAAUAAAUUUAAUGAAUAAAUAUUUAUUUUAUUAUAUUUGUAAAUUUAUAAUAAUUAUUAAUAUUCUUAAUUAUGAACAUCACAAUUUUUUAUUAAUUUU